AUUAGAUACCCUGGGUAGUCCACGCCGUAAACGAUGGAUACUAGGUGUCGGUGGGCAAAGCCCAUCGGUGCCGCCGCAAACGCAAUAAGUAUCCCACCUGGGGAGUACGUUCGCAAGAAUGAAACUCAAAGGAAUUGACGGGGACCCGCACAAGCGGUGGAGCAUGUGGUUUAAUCCGAAGCAACGCGAAGAACCUUACCAAGUCUUGACAUCCCCCUGACCGGCCCGUAACGGGGCCCUUCCUUCGGGACAGGGGAGACAGGUGGUGCAUGGUUGUCGUCAGCUCGUGUCGUGAGAUGUUGGGUUAAGUCCCGCAACGAGCGCAACCCUUAUCCCCAGUAGCCAGCAGGUGAUGCUGGGCACUCUGUGGAGACUGCCAGGGACAACCUGGAGGAAGGUGGGGAUGACGUCAAAUCAUCAUGCCCCUUAUGAUUUGGGCUACACACGUGCUACAAUGGCGUAAACAGAGGGAAGCGAACCCGCGAGGGGGAGCAAAUCCAGAAAUAACGUCCCAGUUCGGAUUGUAGUCUGCAACCCGGCUACAUGAAGCUGGAAUCGCUAGUAAUCGCGGAUCAGAAUGCCGCGGUGAAUACGUUCCCGGGUCUUGUACACACCGCCCGUCACACCAUGGGAGUCGGAAAUGCCCGAAGUCUGUGACCCAACUGAAAGGAGGGAGCCGCCGAAGGCAGGCCCGGCGACUGGGGUGAAGUCGUAACAAGGUACC
rnacentral:rRNA from 1 species